rnacentral:rRNA from 4 species
UGGUGGGUAGUUUGACUGGGGCGGUCUCCUCCUAAAGAGUAACGGAGGAGCACGAAGGUUGGCUAAUCCUGGUCGGACAUCAGGAGGUUAGUGCAAUGGCAUAAGCCAGCUUGACUGCGAGCGUGACGGCGCGAGCAGGUGCGAAAGCAGGUCAUAGUGAUCCGGUGGUUCUGAAUGGAAGGGCCAUCGCUCAACGGAUAAAAGGUACUCCGGGGAUAACAGGCUGAUACCGCCCAAGAGUUCAUAUCGACGGCGGUGUUUGGCACCUCGAUGUCGGCUCAUCACAUCCUGGGGCUGAAGUAGGUCCCAAGGGUAUGGCUGUUCGCCAUUUAAAGUGGUACGCGAGCUGGGUUUAGAACGUCGUGAGACAGUUCGGUCCCUAUCUGCCGUGGGCGCUGGAGAACUGAGGGGGGCUGCUCCUAGUACGAGAGGACCGGAGUGGACGCAUCACUGGUGUUCGGGUUGUCAUGCCAAUGGCACUGCCCGGUAGCUAAAUGCGGAAGAGAUAAG